GCUGGGCAUGGUGGCACGUGCCUGUAGUCCCAGCUAUUCAGGAGGCUGAGGCUGGAGGAUCACUUGAGCCCAGGAGUUCUGGGCUGUAGUGCCCUAUACCAAUUGGGUGUCCACACUAAGUUCGGCAUUAAUAUGGUGACCUCCUGGGAGCAGGGGACAACCAGGUUGCCUAAGGAGGGGUGAACUGGCCCAGGUCAGAAACAGAGCAGGUCAAAACUCCUGUGCUGAUCAGUAGUGGGAUUGCGGCUGUGAAUAGCCACUGCACUCCUGCCUGGGCAACAUAGUGAGACCUGUUCUUA
rnacentral:SRP_RNA from 1 species